rnacentral:rRNA from 1 species
CGGACGGGUGAGUAACGCGUGGGUAACCUGCCUCACACUGGGGGACAACAGUUAGAAAUGACUGCUAAUACCGCAUAAGCGCACAGGACCGCAUGGUCUAGUGUGAAAAACUCCGGUGGUGUGAGAUGGACCCGCGUUUGAUUAGCUAGUUGGUGGGGUAACGGCCUACCAAGGCGACGAUCAAUAGCCGACCUGAGAGGGUGACCGGCCACAUUGGGACUGAGACACGGCCCAA